CGGCGAGUGAAGUGGGAAGAGCUCAUGUUUGAAAUCCAGCUCCCCGCGGGGCUGGAGUUGUAACCUAGAGGAGCGUGAUCGCCUGCCGGCAGGGCCGCGGCCAAGUCCGAUUUGAAAAGGGUACCGAGGAGGGUGGCAGUCCCGUUCGUGCCGCAGUCCCGCCGGCGAUGUGGCCCGCUUCCAACGAGUCGAGUUGCUUGGGAUUGCAGCUCAAAGUGGGUGGUAAACUCCAUCCAAAGCUAAACACGGGUGGGAGACCGAUAGCGAACAAGUACCGUGAGGGAAAGAUGCAAAGAACUUUGAAAAGAGAGUCAAAGAGUGCCUGAAAUUGCUGAGAGGGAAGCGAAGGAAAGUAGUGUCAGUCGAGGGGACCUCCCACACUUGGGGAGCGACGUUCCGCGGCGUUCCCCAGGUUAUGUCCCCCGCGGUGUCAGGGGCGGGUGCGUUGCCGGAGGCGGCGGCCCAGGGUAUAGGUUCUCCGAGGUAAGAGCCGGAGGAAUGCUGCAACAUGGGAUCCGCGUCUUGGUCGCGGCCGUCCCUGACGAAA
rnacentral:rRNA from 1 species